GACGAACGCUGGCGGCGUGCUUAACACAUGCAAGUCGAACGGAAAGGCCCUGCUUUUGUGGGGUGCUCGAGUGGCGAACGGGUGAGUAACACGUGAGUAACCUGCCCUUGACUUUGGGAUAACUUCAGGAAACUGGGGCUAAUACCGGAUAGGAGCUCCGGCUGCAUGGUGGGGGUUGGAAAGUUUCGGCGGUUGGGGAUGGACUCGCGGCUGAUCAGCUUGUUGGUGGGGUAGUGGCUUACCAAGGCUUUGACGGGUAGCCGGCCUGAGAGGGUGACCGGCGUCAUUGGGACUGAGAUACGGCCCAGACUCCUACGGGAGGCAGCAGUGGGGAAUAUUGCACAAUGGGCGGAAGCCUGAUGCAGCAACGCCGCGUGCGGGAUGACGGCCUUCGGGUUGUAAACCGCUUUCGCCUGUGACGAAGCGUGAGUGACGGUAAUGGGUAAAGAAGCACCGGCUAACUACGUG
rnacentral:rRNA from 1 species